rnacentral:rRNA from 1 species
UGGGGAAUUUUGGACAAUGGGCGAAAGCCUGAUCCAGCAAUGCCGCGUGAGUGAAGAAGGCCUUCGGGUUGUAAAGCUCUUUUGUCAGGGAAGAAACGGUGAGAGCUAAUAUCUCUUGCUAAUGACGGUACCUGAAGAAUAAGCACCGGCUAACUACGUGCCAGCAGCCGCGGUAAUACGUAGGGUGCGAGCGUUAAUCGGAAUUACUGGGCGUAAAGCGUGCGCAGGCGGCUUUGUAAGACGGAUGUGAAAGCCCCGGGCUCAACCUGGGAAGUGCAUUCGUGACUGCAAGGCUAGAGUGCGUCAGAGGGAGGUGGAAUUCCGCGUGUAGCAGUGAAAUGCGUAGAGAUGCGGAGGAACACCGAUGGCGAAGGCAGCCUCCUGGGAUGACACUGACGCU